AGAGUUUGAUCCUGGCUCAGGACGAACGCUGGCGGCGUGCUUAACACAUGCAAGUCGAACGGAAAGGCCCCUUCGGGGGUACUCGAGUGGCGAACGGGUGAGUAACACGUGGGUGAUCUGCCCUGCACUUUGGGAUAAGCCUGGGAAACUGGGUCUAAUACCGAAUAGGACCGCAUGCUUCAUGGUGUGUGGUGGAAAGCUUUUGCGGUGUGGGAUGGGCCCGCGGCCUAUCAGCUUGUUGGUGGGGUAAUGGCCUACCAAGGCGACGACGGGUAGCCGGCCUGAGAGGGUGUCCGGCCACACUGGGACUGAGAUACGGCCCAGACUCCUACGGGAGGCAGCAGUGGGGAAUAUUGCACAAUGGGCGCAAGCCUGAUGCAGCGACGCCGCGUGGGGGAUGACGGCCUUCGGGUUGUAAACCUCUUUCAGUAUCGGCGAAGCUCCAGGAUUUUUCUUGGGGUGACGGUAGGUACAGAAGAAGCACCGGCCAACUACGUGCCAGCAGCCGCGGUAAUACGUGGGGUGCGAGCGUUGUCCGGAAUUACUGGGCGUAAAGAGCUCGUAGGUGGUUUGUCACGUUGUCUGUGAAAACUCACAGCUUAACUGUGGGCGUGCGGGCGAUACGGGCAGACUGGAGUACUGUAGGGGAGACUGGAAUUCCUGGUGUAGCGGUGGAAUGCGCAGAUAUCAGGAGGAACACCGGUGGCGAAGGCGGGUCUCCGGGCAGUAACUGACGCUGAGGAGCGAAAGCGUGGGGAGCGAACAGGAUUAGAUACCCUGGUAGUCCAA
rnacentral:rRNA from 1 species